rnacentral:lncRNA from 1 species
AGCACAGAUGGCUAACUCACAUUUUUCCAUGGCUAGACUUUCUCGUCUUCACCUAUGAAUGGGUGUGUUAAUUUGUAUGCCCAUCCUUGAGCUCGCUUCAUGGAGAAGAAGACUAUCUGUGCUAAAAAAUUAUAAUGGAGGGUUAUUCCAUGCUUGUCUGGGUCGCUGUGCUUGCUCUGCUGUUGGUGCAGAAGUCGAUGCCUGACAUUGGUAGUGGUGCGAGGUUCUGUGAUUGAAGAAUAAUUUGGUGAUGGCAACAGAGAGUUGGUGAUGGCAGUUGUCAUAGCACUGUGUGACUAGUUGUGUUCUUCAUUGCUGUUCAUCAUUAUAUUUACAAGAAACUCUACAAUAUGUUGGGAGUUUAUUUACC